rnacentral:misc_RNA from 1 species
GCUUGAUUUUUUAAUUUUGGCUGGUACGGUUCCGUUCUGUUCCGCCUUGGCGCCCUUGGCCGCGGGGGCAAUGUUUUUGUUUUCGUUCUACGUUCAGGUGUUGGGUGGCGACGUAUUAACCGUCGAUAACCAGCUGAAGCAGCUCAAGUUCUCGAGUGGAACGAGGUUGACCGUGCGCAGUGGCAGCCGUUGACAACAAAAACAAUGUAUGCACUCAGCUUCGCCGGAUGAGUCCCGGCGUCGAUCGCGAACCGCCAGAGCCGCCAAAUACCUCUCGUACAUCUCCAAGAACACCAAGAACAGGAGGUAUUCAUAAAGAGGAGGUGCGAAGAGCUGGCCCUCACUUUUUCAAGGCAGCCGCAGAACACUACGAGCCCCGAAUCACUGCCGCGGCUGACUCACGCGGAUGCUGUGCUGCACCCUGCACUGCACAUGGUUCGAAGCACACUUCAGGGGACCAGUGCAUGCCCCUGAUGCAUCGUCGCGGUUCCGGGGAUCAUGGCAUCGAUGAGCUCGCUUUCGCCUUGUCCAAGGUAGCAGCGGAACACUACGGGCAGGCCCGGAGUCACCGCACCGGCUGGCUCACGGGCGUCGUCCUGUACUCUGCACGGCACUGCGUGUGGCUUAACCGGCCAAGCAGAGGGUCACUGCAUGACCUUUAUGAGGCGUCGCUAGCCAUUGUAAGUAUAUUUUGGACGCUCGUGUCAGGGGAUGUACUUUUGUGUUCUACAACAGAACAUGUUUGGUGGCGGUUCAGUCUUGCCAAUUCAGCCAUUUCGAAACAUAAUUUUGUGGCGACUUGGCUUAGGUUUUCUGGCUCGGCCGUCUUUUGCACCAGUGUCUAGGCUCGGCGUAAGCCUCUUUGUUCUUUAUUGUCAAGGCUAGUGUAAUUUUUGCUACGCCGUCGAAGCAACUUCUGCAUGCGAACAAGAUGCAAGACGAAGCUACAUGCUCGUGCACAGUGCAUGACCACAUGUGAAAACUAAUAGAGAGUUUGUUUCGCUGCAAUCGUGCCCAUGCGCACCCACUCGCAACAUGAAGUGAGUUUGUUUCGCCGCCGGCACUCCACACGUGCAUGCGCUCGCUGCGCCCUGAGAAUUAAGUGUGUACCUGAAUGCACUCCCGUCAUGCAUCACUUAGGCAGGGAACAAGAGCAGAUGACUGGUUUGUCCACCAUGCGGGACAGUAGAACUGCAGAAAAAGUGAACUUUCUGCUAAAAAAAUGACGUCCCACGAGCAACAAAAUCGGACACGAGCUUGAAUUGUGUGUCUGCUAUUCUAUAAAGCAAGCAAUCCACAACCUGUGCUUAACUUGCAAGUUUUCAGUCAUUUUGUUGCUGUACAGACGUCCAUAUACACCGGUGGAUAAAGAAAGGUUUAGAACGAACAUCAGCCACUGCGAGAUAUCUCUCACCAUGUGUGCGGGGCUAAAGAGUUGGGACGUUAGUUGACAAAGCUUGCCCGGCAGAAACCUGCGACGCGUCCAAUCGGGAGCCGAGAAAGCUAAACUAUUUUUACCCGAGGCUUGGAUAAAAUCACAGUGUUUAAUAAGGAGCCAUGGAAUUUAUUUUGGGUGGGAUAAAUUAAUUUAGAUUCGUAUUUUGCUAAUACAGUUGAACCUUUCAAGAACGAAAUUCUCGCGGCAACGAAGAAAUCUGGCGGCCCCAGCGAACGUCCAUAGGGUUCAAUGCAUUUGCACCCUCUCAACAGCAAAGAGUUUUAAAAAGCAGUCCCGCAUUAACGAAAGUUUGAGGUAGUGAUCUGCCAUAGAGUUAUUCAAUGUGUCUACCAAGUUGGCAUUUUCAAAUUCCCUGAGUUUUUCAGGUUUCCUCUGAGUACUUUUGUGAAAUUCCCUGAGUGACACAGAACUUUGUUUUAGGUCAAGAUGGGCGGACACCAUGUCGCCACAUGCUGUCGCUCUCUAAAAAGCAUGUCAUAAAAUAAAAUAACAACACAAUACAGUUUUGAUGAUAGCGAGUAACUUUUAUUAGAUUUAAAAAGAAAACAGAACGAAGUGGUUAGUAAAAUUGAUAGCGAAUAAAGUAUAAAAAAAGGUAAACUGAGGUUUACGUGACCCCCCCAGGUCUGGUCAUGUGACCUCGGGGGGGGGGGGGGGGUGUCAUGACCUGACGGCGACGCCGCUCAAGCCGGAAACGGGAGCAAUAACGGGGAAAGGAAAGGGUAAACAAACAUAAGGCGUUCAAAGUGCGAUUGCUCAACCCUUGUUGUCAAAACACUCCACCUAACAAAAUCUUUUUUUUUUUU